rnacentral:rRNA from 1 species
AGUGAACGCUGGCGGUAGGCCUAACACAUGCAAGUCGAACGGCAGCACAGUAAGAGCUUGCUCUUACGGGUGGCGAGUGGCGGACGGGUGAGGAAUACAUCGGAAUCUACUUUUUCGUGGGGGAUAACGUAGGGAAACUUACGCUAAUACCGCAUACGACCUACGGGUGAAAGCAGGGGAUCUUCGGACCCUGCGCGAUUGAAUGAGCCGAUGUCGGAUUAGCUAGUUGGCGGGGUAAAGGCCCACCAAGGCGACGAUCCGUAGCUGGUCUGAGAGGAUGAUCAGCCACACUGGAACUGAGACACGGUCCAGACUCCUACGGGAGGCAGCAGUGGGGAAUAUUGGGCAAUGGGCGCAAGCCUGAUCCAGCCAUACCGCGUGGGUGAAGAAGGCCUUCGGGUUGUAAAGCCCUUUUGUUGGGAAAGAAAAGCAGCAGGUUAAUACCCCGCUGUUCUGACGGUACCCAAAGAAUAAGCACCGGCUAACUUCGUG